UGGGGAAUUUUGGACAAUGGGGGAAACCCUGAUCCAGCCAUCCCGCGUGUGCGAUGAAGGCCUUCGGGUUGUAAAGCACUUUUGGCAGGAAAGAAACGUCAUGGGUUAAUACCCCGUGAAACUGACGGUACCUGCAGAAUAAGCACCGGCUAACUACGUGCCAGCAGCCGCGGUAAUACGUAGGGUGCAAGCGUUAAUCGGAAUUACUGGGCGUAAAGCGUGCGCAGGCGGUUCGGAAAGAAAGAUGUAAAAUCCCAGAGCUCAACUUUGGAACUGCAUUUUUAACUACCGGGCUAGAGUGUGUCAGAGGGAGGUGGAAUUCCGCGUGUAGCAGUGAAAUGCGUAGAUAUGCGGAGGAACACCGAUGGCGAAGGCAGCCUCCUGGGAUAACACUGACGCUCAUGCACGAAAGCGUGGGGAGCAAACAGG
rnacentral:rRNA from 1 species